GACAGCAGUAGCCGCGGGAAUACGGAGGGUGCAAGCGUUAAUCGGAAUUACUGGGCGUAAAGCGCACGCAGGCGGUCUGACAAGUCAGAUGUGAAAUCCCCGGGCUUAACCUGGGAACUGCAUUUGAAACUGUCAGGCUGGAGUCUUGUAGAGGGGGGUGGAAUUCCAGGUGUAGCGGUGAAAUGCGUAGAGAUCUGGAGGAAUACCGGUGGCGAAGGCGGCCCCCUGGACAAAGACUGACGCUCAGGUGCGAAAGCGUGGGGAGCAAACAGGAUUAGAUACCCGCGUAGUCCCUGUCUCUUAUAC
rnacentral:rRNA from 1 species